AUGGCUGUCCUGGUGCUGUUCCUCUGCCUGGUGACAUUUCCAAGCUGUGCCCUGUCCCAGAUACAGCUGAAGGAGUCAGGACCUGGCCUAGUGCAGCCCUCACAGACCCUGUCGCUCACCUGCACUGUCUCUGGAUUCUCAUUAACGAGCAAUUAUGUACAUUGGAUCCGCCAACUUCCAGGAAAGGGUCUGGAGUGGAUGGGAGUAAUACGGAGUAGUGGAAGCACAGAGUAUAAUUCAGCUCUCCAGUCCCGAAUCACCAUCACCAGGGACACCUCCAAGAGCCAAGUUUUCUUAAAACUGAACAGUCUGCAAACUGAGGACACAGCCAUGUAUUACUGUGCCAAAAGCACAGUGAGAGAACUCCAGUGUGAGCCUCUACAAAAACCUCCAUGUGGAGAACCUCACGACCAGCAGGUGGCGAUGGGAACCAACAGGGUCUCCCAAGAGCAGAACCUCCCCAAAUGCAAAUCAGUCCUCAAGCUCAGGAUGAAAUCCAAGGCCAAGCUAAGAGACCCCAUCUCCUUCUGA